AUUUAUUUUCUUAGUAAA
rnacentral:snRNA from 1 species